rnacentral:lncRNA from 1 species
GCGAACCCAGCAUUCUACAGGGCCGCCUGGCCAAUAGAGCCAGAAGCCGGGGCAUCCAUUCGACAGGGCCUCCUGACCAAUAGAGACAGAAGCCGGGGCUGCCAUAGCUUCUGCUUCGAUUAGUUUCUUGUGUCCUGGAAAAAAGUGAAACAGAGUUCCGGUUCUUCUUUCGCCGAAUGACUCCAGAAUUGUGUAAAAGCCUAAACAACAGGCCUGGUCUAUGAGGAGGAUCUACUAUCGGAAAUCGAUAUUCCCAUUCCCGCUGCCUUAGCAAUGGUGAUACCAAAUAUCACGUACCAAAAAAUGAUAGCUAUCAACGCUAUCUAACAGGCGCUCAUGGACGAUGAUGAGACAUUCUAUCUAACAAUGAGAAUUAUCUCAAUUUAUCUCAUAGUUGGCAUUACAGUCAGUGGGUUUGGAUUUCAAAGAUGUUAAAACAAUAUCCCUUAGAGAGGAGUUAGUCAUUGAUAACAGUGAGAGUUUCAUGAUAUUGUUGUUAUGAAACGAUGAAAUUUUAGAAGCAAUAAUUGAUUAGGAGAUGAUCGAUGUUUAGUGGGUGUUCUAAUCUUGUGUUUGGUGCAUUAUGUGCUUGAUAAUGAGAUGAACGAUACUUUUGAAGGUGGUUAAAGGGAAUAUUAUCUAAAGUAGUAAAGAUUACUCCUAUUUAGAUCGAUAAUUAUGAAGUUAGUUAAAG